rnacentral:rRNA from 1 species
GACCUGACUGCUAUCGGAUGAUACUAAGCCAUGCGAGUCUUUGUAGUAAUACAAGGCAUACGGCUCAGUAACACGUAGUCAACCUACCCUAUGGACGAGAAUAAUCUCGGGAAACUGAGCAUAAUUCUUGAUAGAUCAUAAUGCCUGGAAUGGUUUAUGGUUAAAAUGAUUCGUCGCCAUAGGAUGGGACUGCGGCCUAUCAGCUUGUUGGUGAGGUAAUGGCCCACCAAGACUAUUACAGGUACGGGCUCUGAGAGGAGUAGCCCGGAGAUGGGUACUGAGACACGGACCCAGGCCCUAUGGGGCGCAGCAGGCGAGAAAACUUUGCAAUGUGCGAAAGCACGACAAGGUUAAUCCGAGUGAUUUCUGCUAAAGAAAUCUUUUGCCAGUCAUAAAACCACUGGUGAAUAAGGGGUGGGCAAGUUCUGGUGUCAGCCGCCGCGGUAAAACCAGCACCUCAAGUGGUCAGGAUGAUUAUUGGGCCUAAAGCAUCCGUAGCCGGCUUUGUAAGUUUUCGGUUAAAUCCAUGUGCUCAACGCAUGGGCUGCCGAAAAUACUGCAUGGCUAGGGAGUGGGAGAGGUAGACGGUACUCAGUAGGAAGGGGUAAAAUCCUUUGAUCUAUUGAUGACCACCUGUGGCGAAGGCGGUCUACCAGAACACGUUCGACGGUGAGGGAUGAAAGCUGGGGGAGCAAACCGGAUUAGAUACCCGGGUAGUCCCAGCUGUAAACGAUGCAGACUCGAUGAUGCAUUGGCAUAAUAGCCAGUGCAGUGUCGCAGGGAAGCCGUUAAGUCUGCCGCCUGGGAAGUACGUACGCAAGUAUGAAACUUAAAGGAAUUGGCGGGGGAGCACCACAAGGGGUGAAGCCUGCGGUUCAUUGGAUUCACCGCCGGA